rnacentral:misc_RNA from 1 species
GAUGAAGAACGUAGUGAAAUGCGAUAAGUAUUGUGAAUUGCAGAAUUCAGUGAAUCAUCGAAUCUUUGAACGCACAUUGCGCCCUCUGGUAUUCCGGGGGGCAUGCCUGUUCGAGCGUCAUUACAACCCUCAAGCUUUGCUUGGUAUUGGACAUUGCCAGUUUCUGGCAGGUCUUAAAAUCAGUGGCGGUGCCAUUUGGCUUCAAGCGUAGUAAUUCUUCUCGCUUUGGAGAUCCAGGUGGUUACUUGCCAAUAACCCCCAAUUUUUUCAGGUUGACCUCGGAUCAGGUAGGGAUACCCGCUGAACUUAAGCAUAUCAAUAAGCGGAGGA